rnacentral:rRNA from 1 species
GAUGAACGCUGGCGGCGUGCCUAAUACAUGCAAGUCAAGCGAACAGACGAGGAGCUUGCUCCUCUGACGUUAGCGGCGGACGGGUGAGUAACACGUGGAUAACCUACCUAUAAGACUGGGAUAACUUCGGGAAACCGGAGCUAAUACCGGAUAAUAUAUUGAACCGCAUGGUUCAAUAGUGAAAGACGGUUUUGCUGUCACUUAUAGAUGGAUCCGCGCCGCAUUAGCUAGUUGGUAAGGUAACGGCUUACCAAGGCAACGAUGCGUAGCCGACCUGAGAGGGUGAUCGGCCACACGGGAACGGAGACACGGUCCAGACUCCUGAGAGAGGCAGCAGUAGGGAAUCUUCCGCAAUGGGCGAAAGCCUGACGGAGCAACGCCGCGUGAGUGAUGAAGGUCUUCGGAUCGUAAAACUCUGUUAUUAGGGAAGAACAAAUGUGUAAGUAACUAUGCACGUCUUGACGGUACCUAAUCAGAAAGCCACGGCUAACUACGUG